rnacentral:rRNA from 1 species
UAGGGAAUCUUCGGCAAUGGACGAAAGUCUGACCGAGCAACGCCGCGUGAGUGAAGAAGGUUUUCGGAUCGUAAAACUCUGUUGUUAGAGAAGAACAAGGACGUUAGUAACUGAACGUCCCCUGACGGUAUCUAACCAGAAAGCCACGGCUAACUACGUGCCAGCAGCCGCGGUAAUACGUAGGUGGCAAGCGUUGUCCGGAUUUAUUGGGCGUAAAGCGAGCGCAGGCGGUUUCUUAAGUCUGAUGUGAAAGCCCCCGGCUCAACCGGGGAGGGUCAUUGGAAACUGGGAGACAUGAGUGCAGAAGAGGAGAGUGGAAUUCCAUGUGUAGCGGUGAAAUGCGUAGAUAUAUGGAGGAACGCCAGUGGCGAAGGCGGCUCUCUGGUCUGUAACUGACGCUGAGGCUCGAAAGCGUGGGGGGCAAACAGG